GACGAACGCUGGCGGCGUGCUUAACACAUGCAAGUCGAACGGAAAGGCCCUGCUUGCAGGGUGCUCGAGUGGCGAACGGGUGAGUAACACGUGGGUGAUCUGCCCCUUACUUUGGGAUAAGCCUGGGAAACUGGGUCUAAUACUGGAUAGGGCCAUGCUGUAGGUGGUGUGGUGGAAAGAUUAGUUUCGGUAAGGGAUGAGCUCGCGGCCUAUCAGCUUGUUGGUGGGGUAUUGGCCUACCAAGGCGUCGACGGGUAGCCGGCCUGAGAGGGUGGACGGCCACAUUGGGACUGAGAUACGGCCAAGACUCCUACGGGAGGCAGCAGUGGGGAAUAUUGCACAAUGGGCGCAAGCCUGAUGCAGCGACGCCGCGUGGGGGAUGACGGCCUUCGGGUUGUAAACUCCUUUCAGCCAUGACGAAGCCCUUGUGGUGACGGUAGUGGUAGAAGAAGCACCGGCUAACUACGUG
rnacentral:rRNA from 1 species